UCAAAGCACACAUAAAUCAUUUCCCCAUUCACAGAGAUUCGAAAACAAUAUGGAACAGAGAGAAACUUGCAGGAUACAAGUAGAAGAAAAAUAAAAUAAAUAAAAUAAAAAUGAUUCUGCCGAACUGGAGAAGGCGGUGGAGUCUGGCGGCGACCGGAAGCAGGCGGCGGCCGGAGAUGGAGAUGGGCAGCACGUAGAGUCGACCGGCGAACUGGAGAAGGUCUGAAGGUGGCGGAUGAACCGGAGAAGGUCCCCGCCUUCGCCGGCUGCGGGCGGGCGAACUGGUGAGGCGGUGGGCGGCGGGCGUCGGCCGGGCGAGGGAUUGAGGGAGAGUGACUGAAGCGGCGGGUGAGGGAGAUUGGGAGAGGAACCGAGAGAGGUUAGAGUGAGAAUUAGAAUUGGAAAUUGGAA
rnacentral:lncRNA from 1 species